rnacentral:rRNA from 1 species
UACGGAGGGUGCAAGCGUUAAUCGGAAUUACUGGGCGUAAAGCGUGCGCAGGCGGUUUGUUAAGUCCGCUGUGAAAUCCCCGGGCUCAACCCGGGAACUGCGUCCGAUACUGGCAGGCUUGAAUCCGGGAGAGGGAUGCGGAAUUCCAGGUGUAGCGGUGAAAUGCGUAGAUAUCUGGAGGAACACCGGUGGCGAAGGCGGCAUCCUGGACCGGCAUUGACGCUGAGGCGCGAAAGCCAGGGGAGCAAACGGG